rnacentral:rRNA from 1 species
UAGUCCAGACCGUAAAUGAUGCAUGCUAGGUGUUUUUGGUUCGCCAGGAGUACCGUAAGCUAACGCGUUAAGCAUGCCGCCUGGGUAGUAUAGUCGCAAGACCGAAACUCAAAGGGAUAGGCGGGGGGAACACACAAGCAGUGGAUUGUCUAGAUUAAUUGGAUAAUAAGCCAAAAAUCUUACCUAGGCUUGACAUCUUGAGAAAACUUUUGUAAUGAGAGCGUGUCCGGCUUGCCGGAAACUCGAUGACAGGCGCUGCACGGUCGUCGUCAGCUCGUGCCGCAAGGUGUCCAGUUAAGUCUGGUAACGAGUGCAACCCUUGUCCUUAGUUAGAAUGUCUAAGGANACUGCCUGGGUAACCAGGGAGGAAGGAGAGGAUGACGUCAGAUCAUCAUGGCCCUUAUGCCUAGGGGCUUCAUAGACAAUACAAUGGGGUGGUACAGUGAGAAGCGAAGCC